rnacentral:rRNA from 1 species
AGUGAACGCUGGCGGUAGGCCUAACACAUGCAAGUCGAACGGCAGCACAGUAAGAGCUUGCUCUUACGGGUGGCGAGUGGCGGACGGGUGAGGAAUACAUCGGAAUCUACUUUUUCGUGGGGGAUAACGUAGGGAAACUUACGCUAAUACCGCAUACCACCUACGGGUGAAAGCAGGGGAUCUUCGGACCUUGCGCGAUUGAAUGAGCCGAUGUCGGAUUAGCUAGUUGGCGGGGUAAAGGCCCACCAAGGCGACGAUCCGUAGCUGGUCUGAGAGGAUGAUCAGCCACACUGGAACUGAGACACGGUCCAGACUCCUACGGGAGGCAGCAGUGGGGAAUAUUGGACAAAGGGCGCAAGCCUGAUCCAGCCAUGCCGCGUGGGUGAAGAAGGCCUUCGGGUUGUAAAGCCCUUUUGUUGGGAAAGAAAAGCAGCAGGUUAAUACCCCGCUGUUCUGACGGUACCCAAAGAAUAAGCACCGGCUAACUUCGUG